GAGAUAUCCUUACAGGGUCGUUCGAGAUGAGAACGUUGAUAGGUUGCAGGUGUAUAGUCGGUGACGGCACAGCCGAGCAAUACUAAUUACCCGAAUGUUUACUUUA
rnacentral:rRNA from 1 species